rnacentral:rRNA from 1 species
UACGUAGGGACCGAGCGUUGUCCGGAUUCAUUGGGCGUAAAGAGCUCGUAGGCGGCUGUUCAAGUCGAACGUGAAAACUCGGAGCUCAACUCCGAGCCUGCGUUCGAUACUGGACGGCUAGAGUCUGGUAGGGGGAUCUGGAAUUCCUGGUGUAGCGGUGGAAUGCGCAGAUAUCAGGAGGAACACCCGUAGCGAAGGCGGCACUCUGGGCCGGUACUGACGCUGAGGAGCGAAAGCGUGGGGAGCAAACAGG